UACAGAGGUCUCAAGCGUUGUUCGGAUUCAUUGGGCGUAAAGGGUGCGUAGGCGGCGUGGUAAGUCGGGUGUGAAAUCUUGGAGCUUAACUCCGAAACUGCAUUCGAUACUGCCGUGCUUGAGGACUGGAGAGGAGACUGGAAUUUACGGUGUAGCGGUGAAAUGCGUAGAUAUCGUAAGGAAGACCAGUGGCGAAGGCGGGUCUCUGGACAGUUCCUGACGCUGAGGCACGAAGGCCCAGGGGAGCAAACGGG
rnacentral:rRNA from 1 species